AAAAAAAAAAAAAAAAAAAAAAAAAAAAAAAAAAAAAAAAAAAAAAAAAAAAAAAAAAAAAAUAUUUUCAUCUGCUGUAGGAGAAACAUCUAGCCAGCUGACACAAGCCACUCAGUUUACUUCUACCACAGAAUCAGAACUUAAAACAGAAGCUAUAUCAGUAUUUACAACAGCUAUGACCCCUAUGAGCACAUCCACAUUAGAAUAUUCUACAACUGAAAGUGUAUCAACUGCAGAAACUACAUUGUCCACAACAGGUUCCUCUCCAUUUUCACCAUCUACAAUAACAGACGGACAAAGCGCAUCAGGAUUCACUUUAUCAAUACAUACAUUGUCAUCUAGUGUAGAACGAACAAGCCAGCAAACACAAACCACUCAGUUUCCUUCUACCAUAGAAACAGAAUCCAUGAGUAUGUCCACUUUAGAAUCGUCUACACUUGAAAGUGGUUCAACAAGUACCUCUUCAGCUUCACCACUACCAUUGUCUACCACAGAAGGACAAACCAUAUCAACAUUUACCUCAUCUAUAACAGAAUUAAUGUCAUCUAGUAUAGAACAAUCAACAAGCCAGCCGACACAAACCGCUCAGUCACCCAUGAGCACCACAUUACUAUCAUCUACACUUGAAAGUAGUUCAAUACUGGAAACUACAUUACCCACAAUAGGUUCAACUCCAUCUUCACUAUUUACUACAAUAGAAGGACAAACGUCUCCUAAUCCUCAAACAAUAACCCCAGCUGAUACAGCCCAAACAUUUAGCAUUCCUACAUCAUCCCAGUCGAGCACAUCUGCUGAAACUAGUACCCAGAAAACUUCAUCAGUAUCAACAGAACUCCAUUCAUCCCCAACAACAGUAAACACAGUUUCAACAACUCAAAACUGUCUGGAGAAUUGUCAGUGUAAUGGGUCCCCAUGCAUCUUCAAUGUAACAUCUGGGAAAUGUCAGUGUCAGUGCAAUUCUUUCACUUUUGGAGAGUAUUGCAAUUUUGCAAAUGACUCUUCUGCUAUUACCUGGUCUGAAAGCACACCCACAAGGAAUGCAAGCAUCUCUCUCAGAAUUAUGAUGGACUAUCUUACCGAGUAUGAAAAUAUGAACUCACCAGAAUCAAAAAAACUCAUUUCCACCUUAAAACGUGAGGUAAGUUUUUCUAGUUCCUUUUCUUGAGGUACUUUAAAGCUCAUAAAUGUGC
ensembl:lncRNA